UACGUAGGUGGCAAGCGUUAUCCGGAUUUACUGGGCGUAAAGCGUGUGCAGGCUGUUCACCAAGUGGUGUAUGAAAGCGCUCGGCUCAACCGGGCAAGGGUAUGCCAGACUGGUGGACUAGAGACUGACAGAGGGUGGUGGAAUUCCGGGUGUAGUGGUGAAAUACGUAGAGAUUGGGAAGAACACCAGUGGCGAAGGCGGCUAUCUGGACGGUUUCUGACGCUAAGACGCGAAAGCGUGGGGAGCAAACAGG
rnacentral:rRNA from 1 species